AACGAACGCUGGCGGCAGGCUUAACACAUGCAAGUCGAACGCCCCGCAAGGGGAGUGGCAGACGGGUGAGUAACGCGUGGGAACGUACCUUUCAGUUCGGAAUAACUCAGGGAAACUUGUGCUAAUACCGGAUACGCCCGCAAGGGAAAAGAUUUAUCGCUGAAAGAUCGGCCCGCGUUGGAUUAGCUAGUUGGUGGGGUAAAGGCCUACCAAGGCGACGAUCCAUAGCUGGUCUGAGAGGAUGAUCAGCCACACUGGGACUGAGACACGGCCCAGACUCCUACGGGAGGCAGCAGUGGGGAAUAUUGGACAAUGGGCGCAAGCCUGAUCCAGCCAUGCCGCGUGUGUGAUGAAGGCCUUAGGGUUGUAAAGCACUUUCACCGAUGAAGAUAAUGACGGUAGUCGGAGAAGAAGCCCCGGCUAACUUCGUGCCAGCAGCCGCGGUAAUGUACAG
rnacentral:rRNA from 1 species